rnacentral:rRNA from 1 species
UACGUAGGUGACAAGCGUUGUCCGGAUUUACUGGGCGUAAAGAGCGCGCAGGCGGUCGAUCAAGUCGAGUGUGAAAGCCCCCGGCUCAACUGGGGAGGGUCAUUCGAUACUGAUCGACUCGAAGGCAGGAGAGGGUAGUGGAAUUCCCGGUGUGAGUGGUGAAAUGCGUAGAUAUCGGGAGGAACACCGAGUGGCGAAGGCGACUACCUGGCCUGUUCUUGACGCUGAGGCGCGAAAGCUAGGGGAGCAAACGGGG